UUAACACUUAUAUCAUCUUCUUCAACCUCCUUUGACUCCAUUCAAUCAAUUUCACUCUUUUAAUUAAACAAAUUCAAGAAAAUGAAUAACAAUCACAAUAAUAAUGACAUUCGAUUUACUAGAAAGUAAACUUGGGAGAUUUGGUGUUGGUGGUGUAUGUGGCCGAAAAUCAAGAUGAGGAAGGAGGAAGAAGACUAGUAAAUUUUCCUUUUUGUUAUCUUUUAAGGUUGAAAGCAUACUCCAUCGUAUUGUGAUCAUCUUGAUAUUUGUCUUUUGCGGCGAGGCCUCGAAAGUGGGAGUAAUUGAUUGAUUAGUAGUGCUUUGAAGAGAAGAUAUGCAUUUGAAGAUAGAUUGUCCAGUUGCGAAAGAAUGGAACUUUUGGUAUAGAUACUUAGUCAUCCUACCUCAUAUGGCUCUUGGUACAAUCUUGACAUUUUGAUCUUGUGGAUAUGUAGUUCAAUGUUGUGUUUGUAAUUAUUUUUGAUAAAAUUUGAAGUCAAAGGAUUGUUAUGGUUUUUGUGGUGACCCGUUUCGUUAUAGAACGUAUAUUUGGUGAAUUGAAAGCUUUUGAAAGUUGUGUUGUAUA